rnacentral:sRNA from 1 species
UGACAGUUUUCGGUCAUGCUCUCAUGUAAAAAAAUUUUUCAUGCACAUUUUAUUAAUACGCGAACGUGAUUAAUAAAUAUACGUAUUUUAUUAAUAUAAAAGACAACAAUGCAACAAAAACGCAAGGGGAUAGUUUGAGUCGUCGAACACUCAAAUCUAGAAGCAUGCAAGAUAGAAGAGCACAAAUAUCAGAUGAAGAAAGGCAACAAAGCAAUACAUAUGUCCGUGUAAGCAUGGCGCAGUUACGUGCAUCACAAUUGCAAGAGGCACGAGAUGAGCGAAACCAGCAAAG